GGGGGCGACCUGGCUUCGACGUGGGUCAUGAAACCUGAGGUGCAUGCCGAGGCGCAGAGGACCUCGUUAAUCCAGCUGCAAACCUUAUAGUUGCCAACGACGACAACUACGCACUAGCUGCUUAAUAACCAGCUUUAGUGCCCUCAGCCUGAUGUGUGCUUGUGCGCUCAGAUCACUGGGGUCGACCUACACAAGAUCGCGAUGAAGCACGUCCGGGGUGGAUUCGUUAAACUCUUUCCGGAAUCGUCGUAAGUUUUCCCUGCCAGUCGGGUAAUUUACGGUUAAACUAAUAGACUGAAUAAGCAUGUAGAGCCAACGGCGGAGGAUUUGCGGACGCGGGUUCGAUUCCCGCCGCCUCCACCA
rnacentral:tmRNA from 1 species